AAAGUGUUCAGUGAACUGGGGCCUUGAGGAAUAUCCUAUUUUUAAACAAGCUGUGUCCUCACAGCACUUACUUCUCUUACUACAGAGUGUUACUAAAAGAGGGAGACAUUGGACAAUCUGAACAGAAAUGUUUUUACCAUCUACCUUCACAAUGAAAAAAGUCACCUGUUCUAUACAGAGAGUCUGAAUGUGUUGUCCCAGAGCUGGGAGAUGCUGCAAAACAUUUCUGUGCUAUAUAAGGCUCUUUAUGACCAACAGUGUGUUGCUGGUACUCAUUAUACAAGCUACCAGCUCCUCAUUUGACAUCUCAACCCACCCUAGCUCUGCUUCCUUCUUUUAUUGUAUCUUUUUCUGUCAAUGCCAUCUCCUCACUCAUUUCCUUUUCCUCUUUUUCACACACACAAGGUGUGAUUGUAUAUUCAUUCCAACACAAUAACAGAGCCACUUUUGAAUUGCUGUUAUUUCUCCCCAAAUAACAAAUACGUUGAACCAAAUUGAAAUGGUUUCUUUUUAAAGAUUUUCCCCAUUUUUUGUUUGCUCACACUGAGUGAAGGUUAUUUGUAAGGAUACUGGACAAUCUGCUCGCUAAAUGUGUAAACUGUUGUAUGUUUAUGGCAUCUCCGUCACCUUCCUCCCUCACAAAAUAAAUCACCUUUAUUACUUUAUCACCUUAGAUAAGCAUGUUCAGCUACGAAUGUACACUAUAUGAAGGGCAUAAUUCUACAAGGAAGCUAAAACUAAAUGUCAGAUAAUCUGCUUUAAAGUCCCAUUGCACUGAUCCCUCUUAAGCAGGCAUCUGAGGAUUCCCUCAGCAAAGGGGAAUCCUUGGCUGGAGUAAACCCAGUCUAUUGAGCUUUAUGUCACCUGUUUCUCACCAAGUUUUGGGUAGGAGUGGUUUAAGGCUGGUGGGGGCACGCUUGGGUGCGGGGGCAGGAUAAUAUGCUCUGGCAAUCAUGGUCCUGUGAAAUGGUCCUUAGAAGACUUUUCCAGCAGCCAUGCUUUACAGCAGUUUCAUGGCUGCUCUAAAUUGUGUCUGUGACCAGCUUUAUCCUUUGGCUAUCCUCAGGAUUGGGGGCUUAGAAAAGGUGAUUUAGAACUACCCGUGUCUUCCUUUGCCAUUGUGCUGUUUAUGAGGUCCGCAAAGCCCAGGAUACAAUCCUAAAUUUAAGAAGGGAUAUUUAACGUAUAUGCAACUAACUGUCAUGAUUGUGGGCUAUGCUUGACUAGGGAGGCAAGUAACUAUCACAACAGGUUCUAGUUUAUGGUCACUAGUUGUUCAUGCCACCCCUUUCUCGUGUUACCAAUUAAUUCCGAUGCAUUACACCAGUUCUCAUUUGCAUUCCCUCUGAUCUCUCCCCUUUUUCUUUAGAAUGGAUGGAUGUCUGAAAUUGUGUAAUAUAGAUUUAAUUUUUCUUCAUCAGCAUUCACUUCACUCCACAUUAUUGCAGUACUCCUGCAGUUAUUUUCUUCGCUACCCAUAAUAUUUUCAAUAUGCAUGUUAAACCAUUUUAGCUACUUUUCAUCCUCUGCCUUAGGGGUCCAGCUUCCAUCACACAUGUACAAUGAUGCAAAUUCCAUGCUGGUUAACCUUUGAACACUGCCUUUACCUCAAAUUUAGUUUCAAAUGUACUCAACAUGCCAAAGCUAGACUACUCAAGAUUUCAUUGGCAUAGUAUUUCUUGUAGCACAUGGAAAUGGAUUAAAAGUAAUAGAUGCACAGCAGGAGAGUGGACAAUUUACAUGUGUGAAGGGGCUGAGGUACUCUUUGAAGCACAUCUGGGUGAUUAUUGGACUGCAUUGCCAAGGAUGUGUCUUGAGAAAGGGAAGAUCAGAUUGGAGAAAUUUAUUAGAGAUGCCACUCAGCGCUGUAGAGAAUUUGAUUACUGGAAAGGGGCCAGUGUGGACAGCUUUUAUUUUUAUCAUUUGUUUACAGCUCAGUACUUUCCUGUAGAUAUAUUAUGGUAGGUAUCUUGUAGCAAAUAUUAUAGAUAAUUAAGGUUGCAAGUGGUUUACAUUAUAACAGCUCUGUUUUUAUAUGCCAAUAACUUUCUGCAACUAUUCACCUUUUGGGCUAAAGUUUUCUGUGCUUAUGCCUGAUGAUUUAAAAAAAAAGUUUGAACAAAAUUGACAGUUCUGAGUUAUGGGACAGUAAAACACAUUUUUGCCAAUGGCUUUAAUCACUCUCUCCCCCAUCCCUGUCCGCACCCCAAAAAACACCCUAACUAUACUUCUCUUAUCAGGGUUAAUGCAAAAAUUGGGUAAAGUUUAACAUUUGGCAUACAUAGUUCUGAGUUUUGUGUAUUUGCUUAGCUCUGGAUAAAUGUUUAAAAUACAAAAAAAUGACUGAAAUAAAGAAUCACUACUGUGCAGGUCAGUGAGCAUCUGCUAAAUUUUUUAGCACAUUUUCAUUAACUACUCCCAUAUGUGACAGCACUGGACAUUCUCUCUGCUGGAACUCAUUAGAGAGUUCACGUAGGAGCAGGGGCUGCUGUUCUUAGUCUGCUGCUAACACUAUUAGUAUGGGAUAGAUUGUAAAUGCAUCAUUGAUACACAUAGCAAAAACUACAAAGUAUGUUCUCUCCACAAGUUUUACUGCACUCUGCAAUAUUCUGCAUACUGUAAUCUCUUACCAAAAAAAACUCAGAGACUACCUGACUGGGAGUCAGGACAGCUGGGAUCUAGUCCCAGUUCUGCCAUUAGCUCACUAUGUGAAGCUAGGCAAAUUGCCUCCUCUCUGUGUGCAUCUGCCAAAAGGGGAUAAUGAUCAUAGAAUAUCAGGGUUGGAAGGGACUUCAGGAGGUUAUCUAGUCCACUCCACUGCUCAAAGCAGGACCAACCCCCAACUGAUGUUUUAUCUGCCUUUGUAAAGCACUUUGGGAUCUAUGGCUGAAUACUAUAUACAUAUUAAGUAUUAUUCUACUGCACUAUAGCAAAGAUACGGCCAGUAUAAAAUAAACAGUUGCUGUGUGACUGCUGUGUUAGGUUUCUGCAAGAAGGCGUUAUCUUCAGCUAAAUGAUAGCCUGAUUCUACUAAGCUGGGAGGGGAGACCCAGAGUGUGGGGGGAUUGCUGUGGGCCAGGAUUGACACGGGGCCAGAGGUGGUGGAGCCAACAGGGCAGGUAACUGAGGGAGAGAAACUGGCCAGAGGAGGGUGCUCCUGAGCUGAAUGAGCUAAUGCCCAGACUGACCAGUAGGAGGUGCCGUGCCAGUGAGUUGGUACUCUGCUACAUAUGGUGGAGAAUGUGGGCAUUUACGGUCCACUCUGAUAAAAGGGGAACUGAGGCCUGGACAAGGUGUGCCAAUAUAGGGGAAGGGGAUGAUGGAUCCCACCUACUUAGAGGUGUUUUUUUUUUUUUGUUUUGUUUUUUGCAGAGGGCUCUUAUGCCAUCCCUGGCUAGACUCCAGCAUCAGUGCCCCAGCGAAAGGAGAUUAGUCUCCCCGCUGCUCACCAGAGACUCUGCUACAGGCCCAGAACACUUCCUGCCAGGCUACGGUGCUCCACAGGGAGAGAAGAUCAGAAGCGCCUAGGAGAUACAAUGAAAUUCCAGGCUCUCAAGGGACCUGAAGCUGACUGUUCAUAUUUCAAUUGACAAAUGGACCAUUGUGAAUUCUGAAGUAGCAAAUGUAAAAUAAUACAUUUAAUAUACAAAUCAGCCUAUUUUAUAGAAGAUUUAGGAAUUGUUAAUUUUCAUGUAAUAUAAAAAGUACUUAUAUUUAUAUAUAGUACGUUUUAUUCUGAAGAAUCCCAAAGUGCUUUACACUAUACAAAAAUUACUUCACCGCUAAAUUGGAGUGUAACUGCACAUUGCAGUUUAGGACAGGAUGUGAAUAAUAAUAUUAUAUCCAAUUAAAACUGCAGGGGGAACUGUAUGUAGGCAGAGCUGUUACCAGAUUUAGGACUCAGCCUGGCCUUGGCCUAGGGUUAGCACUUGUACUCUUGUAAACAAAUCUUAAAUAUCUCAGUGUAAAGUCUCAUUUGUAGAAUUUCAUCUCUAGUAGUAGCUCCACUAAGAUUAUUCUGAAAAUAAAUAUAUGACUCAUUCUUAACUUGAGCUGCACAAUACCGAUAACUUCAGUGGGAGUCUAGAGUAUUCUGCCCUCUUCUUGUAGUGUAUCAAAAGAAUUGACUAUUAUAUUUUGUGAUCUAUAAAAAGGGCAUGGCUUUCAGCAGUCAAAUAAAAAAAAAAUGUGAGCCAGGGCAAAUGAGACUCAAAGAAUUUAAACCAGAUCAUGUUGUUGUAUUGGCUUAUAUGACUGCUUUAUCAUUUUGUCCGGCAAUUGUACAUACACAUUAUCUGUAUGAUGCUGACAUAGCGAAUCAUUUGUUUCUAAACACAAAACUGAAAAAAAAAUGUUUUACUACUCUGGAUUUAUCCAAUUACCACUUGUGUGUCUUUAUUAUAUAAAUAUACUUAGAAAGUGAAAACU